GAUGAAGAACGCAGCGAAAUGCGAUAAGUAAUGUGAAUUGCAGAAUUCAGUGAAUCAUCGAAUCUUUGAACGCACAUUGCGCCCGCCAGUAUUCUGGCGAGCAUGCCUGUUCGAGCGUCAUUUCAACCAUCAAGCCCCAGGCUUGUGUUGGAGCCCUGCGGCUGCCGCAGCCUCCCAAAACCAGUGGCGGGCUCGCUAUCACACCGAGUGCAGUAGUUUACUCUUCGCUCAGGGCGUGUGGCGGGUGCUAGCCGUGAAACCCCCAACUUCUCAAGGUUGACCUCGGAUCAGGUAGGAAUACCCGAUGAACUUAAGCAUAUCAAUAAGCGGGGA
rnacentral:misc_RNA from 1 species